ensembl:lincRNA Gm10101 predicted gene 10101
GAUUGGUGGCCUGAGAGAAUUCCGCCAGCCGGGCUCUGUUCUCAAAUUCCUAACUGACAUCUGGGGCCAAAAUUUAAGUUAAUGCAGAUCCUCAGAUACACGAGGUAUCCUGGAAACCCUGCAAACCCUAGACAAAUUUGGGAAUGGGACAAGGGCCGGCAUCGGCGCGACGGAAUGGUCUACGAAAGGAAUGGUCUCGAUUUGCGGAUUGUCGCGGAAAACCCGAAAAGAGGUCACUACCGCGAGCGAUUUUUUGUAACCUUAUCAACCUUUGCAAAGUAAGUUUAUUCAAAGGAAAAUCGGCAUACGUACUCCCUCGGCCCUCUUUUUUCUUCUCCAAUUAGAAUUAGCCAGAUCUUUGAAGGUUUUAGUAACUAAUUUUUGUUUGUUUAUUAGGAGAUCUUAGUACAGGAAGUAGCUUAAUGUCUGCUUCCUUUCCUCUUGUCAUCUCUGCCUCAAAGAAGCCUCCCGGAAGUUUCUCCUAAAACCACUUUUAUAUUUCUUUUACUUAAGCCCUAAUGUGAUCCCUAGUUACAGCAUAAACAGGAGAAACACCUCCCAUCACAAAUCCGAUCCUGUUACUGAGGAAGAAGGGGAGAGUGGACAUUAGGACGCUUAAGGAAAGGUUUCAUGCCAUGCUCUCAAGUCACCAGGAAAUGUGUGCUUCAAAAAGAAGAGUUAGCUUCGUCCAGUGACCUUGACCAAAUAGCCUUGUGUUUUCUGGAGUACUGCUAUUUAAGCUUGUUUCUAUGUAAAUUUUCUCAUUAGUAGAUAUUGAAUUGUAAAAGUAUGUUUAUUUAAGCUAUGCUUGGUUGUUGGAAUGUUUUUUACUACCACAUCAAGCACUGCAGUGAGUAUCCAUAAAGCUAAUUUACUUACUUAGGCUAAAUCAUGGAGGUAGGACUUUAUGUAUAUUUAAUUUUUUUUUAGAGACUAGAGUCUAGAAAUACUGUGUUAGAUGCAAUCACACCAUUGCAGGUAGCCAAUCUGAAGGCAAUUUUAUUACAGUAAAACGAAAGGGGAUGUUUAUCGUGAAACAAAAACAUAAGAAGUUGCAGGUAAAGUAACAUUAAAUACAUAGGAAUGACUUUGUCCCCACUCAACCCCCACUGAACCUACAGUAAAGAGAUGUAAGAUGUAAGCCAACAAGAUGGCUAAAGGCACUUGCUACCAGGCCUGACAACCUAACUGGAACCUUCUGGAACCACGUGGUAAAAGGAGAAUACAGUUGUCUUCAGACCUCUGCAAGCAUGGGCCAUAGUAAAUAUAAUGUAAUGAAAGAAAAGUAAACAUUUCCCACAGUGUAAAGAAGAGAGGAAGCAAGAAAAGAAAAAAAAUAAAUAAAGUAAUGCUUUGGAAGAUGCAAAUCAGAAAAGAACAAUUCACCAAUCCAGACACGAGAGCCAGCUCCAAAUCAGAAAUAAAGGAACGGGAAGCCAGCCUAGCUUAUCCUGAGGAACUCUCUAAACAAACAGGAGCGGAGAUUUAGCUCAAGUCUUUACCAUUUCCUGCUUGGAUAUACUACAGCCACUGAAAUAUGUGUCUAACACAGGACCUGUCCUGUGUAUUCUGCACACAUGGUGACCCUCUCUGCAGGACCUGUCCUGUGUAUUCUGCACACACAGUGUCCCUCACUGCAGGAUCUCUCCUGUGUACUCUGCACACACAGUGUCCCUCUCAGCAGGACCUCUUCUGUGUAUUCUGCACACAGUGACCCUCUCUGCAGGACCUCUCCUGUGUACUCUGCACACAGUGUCCCUCUCAGCAGGACCUCUCCUGUGUACUCUGCACACAGUGUCCCUCUCUGCAGGAUCUCUCCUGUGUAUUCUGCAUACACGGUGACCCUCUCUGCAGGACCUGUCCUGUGUAUUCUGCACACACGGUGACUCUCUCCUCCACCACCAAUGACUUUUCUAUAGCAAAAAUCUAAUUCCACUGGUAAAAGUCCUGGGUUGGCAUGCCCUGUUUUUCUUGUUCUUUUUAAAAUAAAAUUUUAGGUAAAUUUACAAAGUAAUGAGUGUUGUUUUAUACACAUAUAUCAAUGGUUUUUUGCUUUUGCUCAUCCUUGGUCUUUCCUCUCUUCCUUCUUCUCCUCUUCCUUCCCAAAAAUACAAUAUAGGUUUAUUCUCUCUCUCUCUUUCCCUCUUGGGGGGGGGCAGUCCUUGCCUUCCACUUUGUUGGAGACAGGAUGAUAUCUCUUUAAAACAAAGACCCUGAGGUCUCAUUUGACACGCCCACUCCUACACAUCUUGACUGAUAGUGCUUGAAUGUGAAAUGGCUCCAGUAGGCUAUAUUUGAACAUUUGGUCCCCAGAUGUGUGGCUGUUUGGAGAAUCUGGGGGAUCUUCAGGAGCUAAGACCCAGAUUAAGGUGGUAGGUGCCUGGGGGAGAGCCUAAGGGGGUUGUCACCUGACCCUGCUUCCACUGCAUCCUGAUCUGCUAUGAUUGUGAGGAGCCUGAGCUACAUGCUCAGGGACACACCUUCCUUGCUAUGACACACUCUAGUCUGAAAUCCUGGAGUCAAAGAAAGUUUGCCUCCCUUACACUGUUGGCAGGUGGUCUGUCCAGCAGCUGAGAAAAGAGAUUAAUACACCUGCUCCUGUCUAAUUAAGAAAAAAAAUGUGGAGGCUGGAGAGGCAGCACAGCAGCUGAGAGUGGUCCUGCUAUUCCAGAAGACCAGCAUCGGUUCCCAGCUCCCAAUCCAGUGGCCCAGGAUCACCUGUAACUCCAGCUCGGGCAUCUGCUUCUGGUUUCUCACGAGUACAUUUGCAUAUCCCCACACAGACAAAGAUAGAUAGAUAGAUAGAUAGAUAGAUAGAUAGAUAGAUAGAUAGAUAGAUGGAUGGAUGGAUGGAUGGAUGGAUGGAUGGAUGGAUAGGUUAGAGAUAUAAAAUUUUAAAAUAAAAAUAAAUCUUUU